CAGUGGGUACAAACGAAAUGAAUGUUU
rnacentral:sRNA from 1 species